GACGAACGCUGGCGGCGUGCUUAACACAUGCAAGUCGAACGGAAAGGCCCCUUUGGGGGUACUCGAGUGGCGAACGGGUGAGUAACACGUGAGUAACCUGCCCUUGACUUCGGGAUAACUUCAGGAAACUGGGGCUAAUACCGGAUAGGAAUCCUUGCUGCAUGGUGGGGGUUGGAAAGCUUCGGCGGUUUUGGAUGGACUCGCGGCUUAUCAGCUUGUUGGUGGGGUAGUGGCUUACCAAGGCUUUGACGGGUAGCCGGCCUGAGAGGGCGACCGGCCACAGUGGGACUGAGAUACGGCCCAGACUCCUACGGGAGGCAGCAGUGGGGUAUAUUGCACAAUGGGCGGAAGCCUGAUGCAGCAACGCCGCGUGCGGGAUGACGGCCUUCGGGUUGUAAACCGCUUUCAGCAGGGGCGAAGCUUGUGGUGACGGUACCUGCAGAAGAAGCACCGGCUAACUACGUG
rnacentral:rRNA from 1 species